UGCCGCGUGCGGGAAGAAGGCCUUCGGGUUGUAAACCGCUUUUGUCAGGGAAGAAAAGGUUCUGGUUAAUACCUGGGACUCAUGACGGUACCUGAAGAAUAAGCACCGGCUAACUACGUGCCAGCAGCCGCGGUAAUACGUAGGGUGCAAGCGUUAAUCGGAAUUACUGGGCGUAAAGCGUGCGCAGGCGGUUAUGCAAGACAGAUGUGAAAUCCCCGGGCUCAACCUGGGAACUGCAUUUGUGACUGCAUAGCUAGAGUACGGUAGAGGGGGAUGGAAUUCCGCGUGUAGCAGUGAAAUGCGUAGAUAUGCGGAGGAACACCGAUGGCGAAGGCAAUCCCCUGGACCUGUACUGACGCUCAUGCACGAAAGCGUGGGGAGCAAACAGGAUUAGAUACCCUGGUAGUCCACGCCCUAAACGAUGUCAACUGGUUGUUGGGAGG
rnacentral:rRNA from 1 species